rnacentral:rRNA from 1 species
CAGGUGGUGCAUGGUUGUCGUCAGCUCGUGUCGUGAGAUGUUGGGUUAAGUCCCGCAACGAGCGCAACCCUCGUUCUAUGUUGCCAGCACGUAAUGGUGGGAACUCAUAGGAGACUGNCCGGGGUCAACUCGGAGGAAGGUGGGGAUGACGUCAAAUCAUCAUGCCCCUUAUGUCUUGGGCUUCACGCAUGCUACAAUGGCCGGUACAAAGGGCUGCAAUACCGUAAGGUGGAGCGAAUCCCAAAAAGCCGGUCUCAGUUCGGAUUGAGGUCUGCAACUCGACCUCAUGAAGUCGGAGUCGCUAGUAAUCGCAGAUCACGCA